rnacentral:rRNA from 1 species
UACUCCUACGGGAGGCAGCAGUGAGGAAUAUUGGUCAAUGGGCGUAAGUCUGAACCAGCCAAGUAGCGUGCAGGAUGACGGCCCUACGGGUUGUAAACUGCUUUUGCGGGAGAAUAAAGUCGGCCACGCGUGGCCAUUUGCAGGUAUCCCGUGAAUAAGGACCGGCUAAUUCCGUGCCAGCAGCCGCGGUAAU